AAAGUAUCUUCUUUCUUCAAAUCCUUGCUUGGCACUUGUAUUUUUGCCAAUCUAGCAACAUCUUUGGAAAGAAGUUCUUAAUUUAUCUAGUUGUUUUGUGUCACCAUUCAGUAUUUUGUACUCUUUGCAGUGUGAUUGUUGAAGCUUUGAAAAUGGACAGUCUGCAGAAAAUUUGCUCAUCAUUGGAGCCCAUUCUUCGAAGAGUUGUCAGUGAAGAAGUUGAACGAGCCUUAGCAAAGCUAAGUCCUCCAAAAAUUGGUGGAAGGUCUUCACCGAAGCAAAUUGAAGGUCCUGAAGAAAUCUCCAGCUUCAUUUCCGGACAAGACUAUCCUUAUCCCAUUUUACUGGAGGAUAAGUAGAAGGGGAACAGGGAGCUGAAAUUCAUGUUGUGUUGAUUGAUGCAAACACUGGCCAUGUUGUCACAUCAGGACCUGAGUCGUCUGCAAAACUGGCCAAGUUGUAGUCCUUGAGGGUGAUUUUAGCAAUGAAGACAAUGAUGAUUGAAGAGUUUGACAGUCAUGUAGUGAAAGAACGCGAAGGAAAAAGGCCUCUUUUGAUUGGAGACUUAUACGUCUCAUGGAAAGAAGGUGUAGGAACCCUUGGAGAGCUCACAUUUCCAGACAAUUCUAGUUGGAUACGGAGUAGGAAAUUUAGGCUUGGACUGAAGAUUGCUUCAGGUUUUUGUGAUGGUAUUCGAGUCCGUGAAGCGAAAACAGAAGCUUUCACUGAAAGGACCACAGAGGGGAAUUGGACAAGAAACACUAUCCACCUGAAUUGAAAGAUGAAGUCUGGAGAUUGGAAAAGAUUGGUAAGGAUGGUUCAUUCCACAAGAGGUUGAAUAAAUAUGGACUCUUUACAGUUGAAGACUUUCUCAGACUUGUUGUUAGGGAUCCCCAGAAACUCCGCAAGGUUCUUGGAACUGCUAUGCUGAUGAACACUAUCGCAACUACUAUGCUGAUGAACACUAUCUUCUUGACCUCAGCCAGGUUUUGAUAGUCGCAACUGCUAUGCUGAUGAACACUAUCUUCCAACUCUA